CACCGCCUGGGGAGUACGACCGCAAGGUUAAAACUCAAAUGAAUUGACGGGGACCCGCACAAGUAGUGGAGCAUGUGGUUUAAUUCGAAGAUACGCGCAGAACCUUACCAACACUUGACAUGUUCGUCGCGACUUUAAGAGAUUAAAGUUUUCGGUUCGGCCGGACGAAACACAGGUGCUGCAUGGCUGUCGUCAGCUCGUGUCGUGAGAUGUUGGGUUAAGUCCCGCAACGAGCGCAACCCUCACUUUUAGUUGCCAUCAUUUAGUUGGGCACUCUGAAAGAACUGCCAGUGAUAAGCUGGAGGAAGGUGGGGAUGACGUCAAGUCCUCAUGGCCCUUACGUGUUGGGCUACACACGUGCUACAAUGGCAUUUACAAUAGGAAGCAAGAUGGCGACAUUAAGCAAAUCCUAAAAAAAUGCCUCAGUUCGGAUUGUACUCUGCAACUCGAGUACAUGAAGCUGGAAUUACUAGUAAUCGCGGAUCAGCGCGCCGCGGUGAAUACGUUCCCGGGUCUUGUACACACCGCCCGUCACACCAUGGGAGUUGGUUCUACCUUAAGGCAAAGCUUAAAACCUUUGACCACGGUAUAGUCAGCGACUGGGGUGAAGUCGUAACAAGGUAGCCGUAGGGGAACCUGCGGCUGGAUUACCUCCUUUCUAAGGAUGAUUAAGGAUUUUUUCUUAAUCUAAAUAUUUAACAGGUUAAUGUUGACCGUCCUCAUUUCUCUUCUUGAAGAAGUGUUUCUCUUUACUGAAUAAGGGCCGGUAGCUCAGUUGGUUAGAGCACACCCUUGAUAAGGGUGGGGUCGAAAGUUCGAGUCUUUCUCGGCCCACCAAAAUAAAUGGGGGAUUAGCUCAGCUGGGAGAGCGCCUGAUUUGCAUUCAGGAGGUCAGCGGUUCGAUCCCGCUAUCCUCCACCAGAAACACUUAGUUAUUUAAUUUGUAAAUUUUAAUAUUAUCAAUAUCUAUAUCCGAUUGUUCGAAUAGAUGAACAAUCAUGAAUGUUCGAAUAGAUGAACAUUCCAACAAAAUUUGAUUCAACACAGAAUUUUUUUCUG
rnacentral:sRNA from 1 species